UAAGUUAUUAAGGGCGCACGGUGGAUGCCUUGGCACUAGAAGCCGAUGAAGGACGUUACUAACGACGAUAUGCUUUGGGGAGCUGUAAGUAAGCUUUGAUCCAGAGAUUUCCGAAUGGGGAAACCCAGCAUGAGUUAUGUCAUGUUAUCGAUAUGUGAAUACAUAGCAUAUCAGAAGGCACACCCGGAGAACUGAAACAUCUUAGUACCCGGAGGAAGAGAAAGAAAAUUCGAUUCCCUUAGUAGCGGCGAGCGAAACGGGAAGAGCCCAAACCAACAAGCUUGCUUGUUGGGGUUGUAGGACACUCUAUACGGAGUUACAAAGGACGACAUUAGACGAAUCAUCUGGAAAGAUGAAUCAAAGAAGGUAAUAAUCCUGUAGUCGAAAAUGUUGUCUCUCUUGAGUGGAUCCUGAGUACGACGGAGCACGUGAAAUUCCGUCGGAAUCUGGGAGGACCAUCUCCUAAGGCUAAAUACUCUCUAGUGACCGAUAGUGAACCAGUACCGUGAGGGAAAGGUGAAAAGCACCCCGGAAGGGGAGUGAAAUAGAACCUGAAACCGUGUGCUUACAAGUAGUCAGAGCCCGUUAAUGGGUGAUGGCGUGCCUUUUGUAGAAUGAACCGGCGAGUUACGAUUUGAUGCAAGGUUAAGCAGUAAAUGUGGAGCCGUAGCGAAAGCGAGUCUGAAUAGGGCGUUUAGUAUUUGGUCGUAGACCCGAAACCAGGUGAUCUACCCUUGGUCAGGUUGAAGUUCAGGUAACACUGAAUGGAGGACCGAACCGACUUACGUUGAAAAGUGAGCGGAUGAACUGAGGGUAGCGGAGAAAUUCCAAUCGAACCUGGAGAUAGCUGGUUCUCUCCGAAAUAGCUUUAGGGCUAGCCUCAAGUGAUGAUUAUUGGAGGUAGAGCACUGUUUGGACGAGGGGCCCCUCUCGGGUUACCGAAUUCAGACAAACUCCGAAUGCCAAUUAAUUUAACUUGGGAGUCAGAACAUGGGUGAUAAGGUCCGUGUUCGAAAGGGAAACAGCCCAGACCACCAGCUAAGGUCCCAAAAUAUAUGUUAAGUGGAAAAGGAUGUGGCGUUGCCCAGACAACUAGGAUGUUGGCUUAGAAGCAGCCAUCAUUUAAAGAGUGCGUAAUAGCUCACUAGUCGAGUGACACUGCGCCGAAAAUGUACCGGGGCUAAACAUAUUACCGAAGCUGUGGAUUGUCCUUUGGACAAUGGUAGGAGAGCGUUCUAAGGGCGUUGAAGCAUGAUCGUAAGGACAUGUGGAGCGCUUAGAAGUGAGAAUGCCGGUGUGAGUAGCGAAAGACGGGUGAGAAUCCCGUCCACCGAUUGACUAAGGUUUCCAGAGGAAGGCUCGUCCGCUCUGGGUUAGUCGGGUCCUAAGCUGAGGCCGACAGGCGUAGGCGAUGGAUAACAGGUUGAUAUUCCUGUACCACCUAUAAUCGUUUUAAUCGAUGGGGGACGCAGUAGGAUAGGCGAAGCGUGCGAUUGGAUUGCACGUCUAAGCAGUAAGGCUGAGUAUUAGGCAAAUCCGGUACUCGUUAAGGCUGAGCUGUGAUGGGGAGAAGACAUUGUGUCUUCGAGUCGUUGAUUUCACACUGCCGAGAAAAGCCUCUAGAUAGAAAAUAGGUGCCCGUACCGCAAACCGACACAGGUAGUCAAGAUGAGAAUUCUAAGGUGAGCGAGCGAACUCUCGUUAAGGAACUCGGCAAAAUGACCCCGUAACUUCGGGAGAAGGGGUGCUCUUUAGGGUUAACGCCCAGAAGAGCCGCAGUGAAUAGGCCCAAGCGACUGUUUAUCAAAAACACAGGUCUCUGCUAAACCGUAAGGUGAUGUAUAGGGGCUGACGCCUGCCCGGUGCUGGAAGGUUAAGAGGAGUGGUUAGCUUCUGCGAAGCUACGAAUCGAAGCCCCAGUAAACGGCGGCCGUAACUAUAACGGUCCUAAGGUAGCGAAAUUCCUUGUCGGGUAAGUUCCGACCCGCACGAAAGGCGUAACGAUUUGGGCACUGUCUCAACGAGAGACUCGGUGAAAUCAUAGUACCUGUGAAGAUGCAGGUUACCCGCGACAGGACGGAAAGACCCCGUGGAGCUUUACUGUAGCCUGAUAUUGAAAUUCGGCACAGCUUGUACAGGAUAGGUAGGAGCCUUUGAAACGUGAGCGCUAGCUUACGUGGAGGCGCUGGUGGGAUACUACCCUAGCUGUGUUGGCUUUCUAACCCGCACCACUUAUCGUGGUGGGAGACAGUGUCAGGCGGGCAGUUUGACUGGGGCGGUCGCCUCCUAAAAGGUAACGGAGGCGCUCAAAGGUUCCCUCAGAAUGGUUGGAAAUCAUUCAUAGAGUGUAAAGGCAUAAGGGAGCUUGACUGCGAGACCUACAAGUCGAGCAGGGUCGAAAGACGGACUUAGUGAUCCGGUGGUUCCGCAUGGAAGGGCCAUCGCUCAACGGAUAAAAGCUACCCCGGGGAUAACAGGCUUAUCUCCCCAAGAGUUCACAUCGACGGGGAGGUUUGGCACCUCGAUGUCGGCUCAUCGCAUCCUGGGCUGUAGUCGGUCCCAAGGGUUGGGCUGUUCGCCCAUUAAAGCGGUACGCGAGCUGGGUUCAGAACGUCGUGAGACAGUUCGGUCCCUAUCCGUCGUGGGCGUAGGAAAUUUGAGAGGAGCUGUCCUUAGUACGAGAGGACCGGGAUGGACAUACCUCUGGUGUACCAGUUGUCGUGCCAACGGCAUAGCUGGGUAGCUAUGUGUGGACGGGAUAAGUGCUGAAAGCAUCUAAGCAUGAAGCCCCCUCAAGAUGAGAUUUCCCAACUUCGGUUAUAAGAUCCCUCAAAGAUGAUGAGGUUAAUAGGUUCGAGGUGGAAGCAUGGUGACAUGUGGAGCUGACGAAUACUAAUCGAUCGAAGACUUAAUCA
rnacentral:rRNA from 1 species